UACGUAGGGUGCGAGCGUUGUCCGGAAUUAUUGGGCGUAAAGAGCUCGUAGGCGGUCUGUCGCGUCGAUCGUGAAAACUUGGGGCUUAACCCUGAGCUUGCGGUCGAUACGGGCAUGACUAGAGUUCGGCAGGGGAGACUGGAAUUCCAGGUGUAGUGGUGAAAUACGUAGAUAUCUGGAGGAACACCGGUGGCGAAGGCGGCGAUCUGGCCCAACAUUGACACUGAGACCCGAAAGCGUGGGGAUCAAACAGG
rnacentral:rRNA from 1 species